ACCUAUUCUCAGGGAACAAUAAAAACUUUCUAGCUUGAGAAUGAAAAACAGUAAACCCCAAAAGCACACGCAAAAAGAAUGAUGCCGACAGAGGUCGUACGAGAAAGGACUUACUUGUCACAACGAGAUCAACGGCGAUUGGAAAUGUCACGCUUGGAUCCUUCUCGCAAAUGCUCCUUCGUCCGUCGACUCAUCUCCGGCGCACUCUGGAUCGUCUGCUUGGGUAUCACUAGGAUUCUUCAGAGCGGCGUCAAAAUGAAGCCCUGGUAUUCUCUACGAAAAUGCAGUUUCUAAGGGUUUUGAGAUCAAAAGAGGUCUCUGCCAAAUCCCUUUUGAUGUGCUCAGUCAGGAUUGGCCUUACUUGAUGCUAAAUCAGAACCGUAAAAACGACGAAGACAUGAAGAGAUUUGGUUUUCACCUUGUCCCAUUCCAAAAUCUGUUAUUUCUUGAGCCAACUAAAUUAGAGGCAGGAGC